rnacentral:rRNA from 1 species
GAGUUUGAUCCUGGCUCAGGACAAGCGCUGGCGGCGUGCCUAACACAUGCAAGUCGCACGUCCUGCCCGUCUUCUUCGCAAGGAGAGGACGGGCAGGCAGUGGCGGACGGGUGAGUAACACGUGGGUGACCUACCCCCAGGUGAGGGAUACCGGCUCGAAAGGGCCGACAAUCCCGCAUAGGCCUGGCUCCUUGGAGGGAGCCAGGCAAAGCUCGGUAGCCUUCGGGCCGCUGAGCGCCUGAGGAGGGGCCUGCGGCCGAUUAGCUGGUUGGUGGGGUAAGAGCCUACCAAGGCGAUGAUCGGUAGCUGGUCUGAGAGGACGAGCAGCCACACUGGGAUUGAGAACGGCCCAGACUCCUACGGGGGGCAGCAGUGAGGAAUAUUCGGCAAUGGGGGCAACCCUGACCGAGCAACGCCGCGUGCAGGAGGACGCUCUUCGGAGUGUAAACUGCUUUUCUCUGUGACGAGCAAGGACGGUAGCAGAGGAAGAAGUCUCGGCUAACUACGUGCCAGCAGCCGCGGUAAUACGUAGGAGGCGAGCGUUGUCCGGAGUUACUGGGCGUAAAGGGCCUGUAGGCGGUCGGUGGCGUCUGCGGUGACAGCUCCCGGCUCAACUGGGAGAGGGCCGACAGAUACGCACCGACU